CCUACGGGAGGCAGCAGGCGCGUAAAUUACCCAAUCCUGACUCAGGGAGGUGGUGACAAGAUAUAACAACGCGAUUUAUAUCGCGAUUGUAGUGAGGGUAUUCUAAAUAGAACCUAUAGUACGAUUAGAGGGCAAGUCUGGUGCCAGCAGCCGCGGUAAU
rnacentral:rRNA from 1 species